CGGUCCAGACUCCUACGGGAGGCAGCAGUAGGGAAUCUUCCGCAAUGGGCGAAAGCCUGACGGAGCAAUGCCGCGUGAGUGAAGAAGGCCUUCGGGUCGUAAAACUCUGUUAUAAGAGAAGAACAAAUUGUAGAGUAACUGCUACAGUCUGGACGGUAUCUUAUCAGAAAGCCACGGCUAACUACGUGCCAGCAGCCGCGGUAA
rnacentral:rRNA from 1 species